rnacentral:rRNA from 1 species
AGUGAACGCUGGCGGUAGGCCUAACACAUGCAAGUCGAACGGCAGCACAGUAAGAGCUUGCUCUUGCGGGUGGCGAGUGGCGGACGGGUGAGGAAUACAUCGGAAUCUACUUUUUCGUGGGGGAUAACGUAGGGAAACUUACGCUAAUACCGCAUACGACCUACGGGUGAAAGCAGGGGAUCUUCGGACCUUGCGCGAUUGAAUGAGCCGAUGUCGGAUUAGCUAGUUGGCGGGGUAAAGGCCCACCAAGGCGACGAUCCGUAGCUGGUCUGAGAGGAUGAUCAGCCACACUGGAACUGAGACACGGUCCAGACUCCUACGGGAGGCAGCAGUGGGGAAUAUUGGACAAAGGGCGCAAGCCUGAUCCAGCCAUACCGCGUGGGUGAAGAAGGACUUCGGGUUGUAAAGCCCUUUUGUUGGGAAAGAAAAGCAGCAGGUUAAUACCCCGCUGUUCUGACGGUACCCAAAGAAUAAGCACCGGCUAACUUCGUG